rnacentral:rRNA from 1 species
AGCAGUCGCCACGGUAAUACAGAGGGUGCGAGCGUUAAUCGGAUUUACUGGGCGUAAAGCGUGCGUAGGCGGCUUUUUAAGUCGGAUGUGAAAUCCCUGAGCUUAACUUAGGAAUUGCAUUCGAUACUGGGAAGCUAGAGUAUGGGAGAGGAUGGUAGAAUUCCAGGUGUAGCGGUGAAAUGCGUAGAGAUCUGGAGGAAUACCGAUGGCGAAGGCAGCCAUCUGGCCUAACACUGACGCUGAGGUACGAAAGCAUGGGGAGCAAACAGGAUUAGAUACCCCUGUAGUCCCUGUCUCUUAUAC